rnacentral:lncRNA from 1 species
CAGGAAGAUACCGGCCUGCCCUGAGGCAAGGGCUCUGGGACCGGACAUGCAGAGUCAAGAGAUAUUCAGAAGGAAAAAUGACCAGACUUUGUGAUUAACUGAUUGAGAGACAGGCAGAUUACAGCAGGAAAAAACAAAGGAGGUUAGGUUAGCUCCAGUGGCUUUGCUCUUGGAUGGCCAGCUGGACAAUGGCUCCCUUCACUGUGCCGGAAGAUAGGAGAAGGAAAGUAAGUUGUAGGGACAAGCCUACAAGCCGAUGAGGUCAAUACUGGAUCGGGUAAAAGUGAGCUAAGUGAAAGACUCUUAGGCAGAGAUGGCAGGUAGGAUUUUAGGGGUGAUCUUUUUCAAACAGGGAAAUUUGUGCCCAAAGAGGUUACGGGAAUCAGUCGACUCCACAUAGCUGAUGAGUGGCAGAAAGGAACUCAAGGCCCAGCUGUGCCCAGGCUUAAAGAUGGAAGGAGCCACAUGGCAAGGAAGUGGGUGACCUUAGAGACUGACAGCAGCCCCCAUCUGACAGCAAGCAAAGAAAUGGAGACCUCAGUUCCACAAGCUCAAGCAACUAAUUUCUGUCACCUAAGAGAAUGAACUUGGAAGUGGAUUUUCCACCAGGGUCUCCAUUUGAGAACUCAGUACGGACAAUAUCUUGAUUUCAGUCUUCUUGAGCAGAAUCCAGUCAUGCUGUGAAGGACUUCUGACCUACAGAGCUGGGCUAAUGAAUGGGUAUUAUUUUAAGCCUCUAAACUUGUUAUUUGUUACCCAGCAAUAGAAAACUAAUACAGGGAAGAAAUAAGAAAGAUGUUUGUAAUUUGAUUCUCCAUAGUCAGGCACAUGGAAAAGUAAACUCUUUCUUCCUACUUCUAAAAGCCAAAUUCAUACACCCUCAGGCUAUGUGUGAUUUGCCUAAGCAGUCAUAUAAAGCUAUUUUAUGCUUUCAACAAAUAUUUAUUGACCUUCAGGUGAUACCUUGGGAACUGUGUAUGUAGGAAUGAGUAAAAAUAUUGGAAUUUGAUAUUUUAACAUUUUAAACUAGUUGGACCAUUAGAGAACUAGUAGAAGUUCUUACCAAAAAGAAAAGAAUGACUUAUGACAGCAGUCCCCAAUCUUCUGGGCACCAGGGACCAUUAGAGAAGUGGAAGUAUAGCAUUUUAAAUGAUUUGGUUUAAAACUGGCAGCAUCAUCAUAGUGUAUGUCUGCCUAUAUUUUAAUAUAGAUGCAUAAUUUAUUUUUAUAACAACUUUUAUAAUUUAUUGGCAGUGUGUAUGUUUUUGAUAACUGAUAUGGUUUGGCUGUGUCCUCACCCAAAUCUCAUCUUGAAUUUUAACUCCCACAAUUCCCACAUGUCAUGGGAGGAACCCAGUGGAAGGUGAUUGAAUUAUGGGAGUGGGUCUUUCCUGCACUGUUCUCAUGAUAGUGAAUGAGUCUCAUGAGACUGAUGGUUUCAAAAAGGGGAGUUUCCCUGAACAGGCUCUCUUCUCUUGCCUGCCACCAUGUGAGACAUGCCUUUCACUUUCCACCAUGAUUGUGAGGUCUCCCCAGCCACAUGAAACUGUAAGUCCAAUAAACCUCUUUCUUUUGUAAAUUGCUCAGUCUCAGGUAUGUCUUUAUCAGCAGUAUAAAAACAGACUAAUACAAUAACUU